UACGUAGGGGGCAAGCGUUGUCCGGAUUUAUUGGGCGUAAAGAGCGUGUAGGCGGCUAGGUAGGUCCGUUGUGAAAACUCGAGGCUCAACCUCGAGACGUCGAUGGAAACCAUCUAGCUAGAGUCCGGAAGAGGAGAGUGGAAUUCCUGGUGUAGCGGUGAAAUGCGCAGAUAUCAGGAAGAACACCCAGUGGCGAAGGCGGGUCUCUGGACAGUUCCUGACGCUGAGGCACGAAGGCCAGGGGAGGCAAACGGGAUUAGAACCC
rnacentral:rRNA from 1 species